GACCGAGGUGCCGAGCGUUAGGCGGAAUCACUGGGCUUAAAGCGUGUGUAGGUGGAUGCCUAAGUACCUUGUGAAAUCCCACGGCUUAACCGUGGAACUGCUUGGUAUACUGGGUGUCUUGAGCCAGCUAGGGGCUACCGGAACAAAUGGUGGAGCGGUGAAAUGCGUAGAUAUCAUUUGGAACGCCAAUGGUGAAAACAGGUAGCUGGGGCUGUGCUGACACUGAGACACGAAAGCCAGGGGAGCGAACGGG
rnacentral:rRNA from 1 species